GACGAACGCUGGCGGCGUGCCUAACACAUGCAAGUCGAACGGAAAGGCCCUGCUUUUGUGGGGUGCUCGAGUGGCGAACGGGUGAGUAACACGUGAGUAACCUGCCCUUGACUUUGGGAUAACUUCAGGCAACUGGGGCUAAUACCGGAUAGGAGCUCCUGCUGCAUGGUGGGGGUUGGAAAGUUUCGGCGGUUGGGGGUGGACUCGCGGCUUAUCAGCUUGUUGGUGGGGUAGUGGCUCACCAAGGCUUUGACGGGUAGCCGGCCUGGGAGGGGGGACGGCGACAUUACGACUGGGGUACGGCCCAGACCCCAACGGUAGGCAACGGGGGAGAAUAUUGUACAGUGGGCGGGAGCCUGAUGCGACAACGCCGCGAGCGGGAAGACGGCCAUGGGGUUGGGAACCGCAGUCGCCUGUGACGAAGCGUGAGUGACGGUACCGGGAAAAUAAGCACCGGCUAACUACGUG
rnacentral:rRNA from 1 species